GACGAACGCUGGCGGCGUGCCUAAUACAUGCAAGUCGAACGAGAGCGACCGGUGCUUGCACUGGUCAAUCUAGUGGCGAACGGGUGAGUAACACGUGGGUAACCUGCCCAUCAGAGGGGGAUAACAUCCGGAAACGGAUGCUAAAACCGCAUAGGUCUUCGAGCCGCAUGGCUUGAAGAGGAAAAGAGGCGCAAGCUUCUGCUGAUGGAUGGACCCGCGGUGCAUUAGCUAGUUGGUGAGGUAACGGCUCACCAAGGCCGUGAUGCAUAGCCGACCUGAGAGGGUGAUCGGCCACAUUGGGACUGAGACACGGCCCAAACUCCUACGGGAGGCAGCAGUAGGGAAUCUUCCGCAAUGGACGCAAGUCUGACGGAGCAACGCCGCGUGAGUGAAGAAGGUUUUCGGAUCGUAAAACUCUGUUGUUAGAGAAGAACAAGUGCUAGAGUAACUGUUAGCGCCUUGACGGUAUCUAACCAGAAAGCCACGGCUAACUACGUGCCAGCAGCCGCGGUAAUACGUAGGUGGCAAGCGUUGUCCGGAUUUAUUGGGCGUAAAGCGAGCGCAGGCGGUUCCUUAAGUCUGGUGUGAAAGCCCCCGGCUCAACCGGGGAGGGUCAUUGGAAACUGGGGAACUUGAGUGCAGAAGAGGAGAGUGGAAUUCCAUGUGUAGCGGUGAAAUGCGUAGAUAUAUGGAGGAACACCAGUGGCGAAGGCGACUCUCUGGUCUGUAACUGACGCUGAGGCUCGAAAGCGUGGGUAGCAAACAGG
rnacentral:rRNA from 1 species